UAACGCGUAAAGAACUUGCCUCACAGAUAGGGACAACAUUUGGAAACGAGUGCUAAUACCUGAUAUUAUGAUUUUAGGGCAUCCUAGGAUUAUGAAAGCUAUAUGCGCUGUGAGAGAGCUUUGCGUCCCAUUAACUAGUUGGAGAGGUAACGGCUCACCAAGGCGAUGAUGGGUAGCCGGCCUGAGAGGGUGAUCGGCCACAAGGGGACUGAGACACGGCCCUU
rnacentral:rRNA from 1 species